AUGGGUCACACUAUCCAGGAGAGUGAGAUGAUAGAUCUACCUCAGCGCCUGCAGGAGCUCCUCUUAAUCCGUCGGUUAAUAAACAACAUGAACGCUGCUGAGGCGGCCAUGACACGUGACUCACAACCCGACGUUAAGAAGCGAACAUGCUACAUCAACGCAGGUCUGUCCCACGGGUGUGACUACAAGGAUCUUGUAGGAGCCAUGGCGGAGAAGAAUUACUGGGAUUCUCUUAAUUCCCCUGGCCGAAGGAGGAGGAGGUCGCUAGAGGACAAUUACCUCACAACUUCCUCUCUGGAGGUUCCCCUCUGAGGUUCAGGGCUGGUUGCUGCUUGUAGGCCUAUGACGGAAAUACAACGUCUGGGUCACCGGUGCCUCCUGCUGCCGCUCAGGAUCUUCACUUAUCAUCAUAUAAAUAAAAAAUAAAGCCAAAAUGAUUCAUAUAUAUGUAAAAAAAAUAUAAUAGACAUUUUUCCCUGUUUCUCUGAGCACAAUGAGCAGAAGAUAAAGGGAAAUAUUAGAAAAAAUGGGUUACAAUAUUUUUGACAAAUGGCGUCGGAUCAAGGUGCCAAAAUCACUGAUUUAACCCCCCAUUCCCACGCUGGGAAAUAAAGGGGCUCUUGAUGCACUUUUUUCUUGACGAAUAAAACAUCUCCUCGACUCAUUAUGCAAAUACGAGCUGAAAAAAUCCUCACAAAAUGUGAAAUAUGGGAAACUAUAUAGAGUUUAGAACACAACUGAGAAAAUAAAUUUGGAUACCAAAGUUUAGUAAGCGAUUGUCAUUUGUUUUCCCCAGGUAUAGUUAAUACAUAGAGGGUUUCAACUCUAUUGUAAUGCUAUUCAAUUCUAAAGUUGCUACUUCAGAGGCUGGAGGAUUUUCAUUGAUUCCCCUUAUAACUGUGUUGAAUUGUACGGUUACGGUUGUUGAAUAAAAUUAAAUUAUAUCAUAUUUGGUCCACCCUGAACCAUAGUACCUGGUCCAUCCUGGGCCAUAGUACCUGGUCCAUCCUGGGCCAUAGUACCUGGUCCAUCCUGGGCCAUAGUACCUGGUCCAUCCUGGGCCAUAGUACCUGGUCCAUCCUGGGCCAUAGUACCUGGUCCAUCCUGGGCCAUAGUACCUGGUCCAUCCUGGGCCAUAGUACCUGGUCCAUCCUGGCCAUAGUACCUGGUCCAUCCUGGGCCAUAGUACCUGGUCCAUCCUGGACCAUAGUACCUGGUCCAUCCUGGGCCAUAGUACCUGGUCCAUCCUGGACCAUAACAUUUAGUCCACCUAUAUACAGGUAUAAAGACCGGAUAAUGGCAGGAUUUCAGCCCAAAAUUAUCAUUUUCACCUAUAAUUUAAGUCCUUCAAAAUUCACAUCAUAAUAACAACAACUGUCAAUGUAUAUUAAAAAAAAAAAAAACGCUACAUUUAGCCCUAUGUAAAAUUUCUCGAGGCUACGAAGAGAUAUAUUGAAAUUCUCGUAUGUUCGUAUCUCUUAAAAAUUUCCUGAUGUUUCUGCCGAUAUAUUUUGUGGAGAUGUUUGUAUAUAACGAAGACCUUGAAAUAUAUUAUAACAGAAA